rnacentral:rRNA from 1 species
AUUGAACGCUGGCGGCAUGCUUUACACAUGCAAGUCGAACGGUAACAGGCCGCAAGGUGCUGACGAGUGGCGAACGGGUGAGUAAUGCAUCGGAACGUGCCCAGUCGGGGGGGAUAACGCAGCGAAAGCUGCGCUAAUACCGCAUACGAUCUAUGGAUGAAAGCGGGGGACCGAAAGGCCUCGCGCGAUUGGAGCGGCCGAUGUCAGAUUAGGUAGUUGGUGGGGUAAAGGCUCACCAAACCAACGAUCUGUAGCUGGUCUGAGAGGACGACCAGCCACACUGGGACUGAGACACGGCCCAGACUCCUACGGGAGGCAGCAGUGGGGAAUUUUGGACAAUGGGCGCAAGCCUGAUCCAGCAAUGCCGCGUGCAGGAAGAAGGCCUUCGGGUUGUAAACUGCUUUUGUACGGAACGAAACGGUCCGGGUUAAUACCUUGGGCUAAUGACGGUACCGUAAGAAUAAGCACCGGCUAACUAUGUGCCAGCAGCCGCCGUAAGAC